GACGAACGCUGGCGGCGUGCUUAACACAUGCAAGUCGAACGCUGAAGCUUGGUGCUUGCACUGGGUGGAUGAGUGGCGAACGGGUGAGUAAUAAGUGAGUAACCUGCCCUUGACUCUGGGAUAAGCCUGGGAAACUGGGUCUAAUACUAGAUACGACAUGUCACCGCAUGGUGGUGUGUGGAAAGGGUUUUACUGGUUUUGGAUGGGCUCACGGCCUAUCAGCUUGUUGGUGGGGUAAUGGCUCACCAAGGCGACGACGGGUAGCCGGCCUGAGAGGGUGACCGGCCACACUGGGACUGAGACACGGCCCAGACUCCUACGGGAGGCAGCAGUGGGGAAUAUUGCACAAUGGGCGGAAGCCUGAUGCAGCGACGCCGCGUGAGGGAUGACGGCCUUCGGGUUGUAAACCUCUUUCAGCACGGAAGAAGCGAAAGUGACGGUACGUGCAGAAGAAGCGCCGGCUAACUACGUG
rnacentral:rRNA from 1 species